rnacentral:lncRNA from 1 species
UAUCAUCAUGUCGCCGGUGAAUUUGUUGACACAUAUGUAUCCAAUCCUUAUUUAUUUACUUCUAUUUUCCAUAUCAUUAUUGACUUUUUUAUUGGUUUCGGGAUAAGAUUUCUUGCUUUACAUGCUUAGAACCUUUAUUUUUUUCAACGCCAGCUUUUGUAUUUUAGCUUUAAAAACAUGAUAAAAAAGACAAACAGCUGUCAACAAAACACAACAUUAGCAACUAAAGACCUCGAAACACGAGCCCUACUAAAAAUAACUUAUUUGCAUUAAACUAGUUUAACUGAAGUUAGCUUAAAACGGUGAUAUUUUGUUAGUUUAAUUUUCAUGCAUUGUAAAGAAUGUCUUUCUUCGACAGUAAUGCCGCUUUGUUUUAAACUUGAAUGAAUACAUAUCAUACUCAUAUAAGAUU